CAGCAGCCACGGGAAAACGGAGGGUGCAAGCGUUAAUCGGAAUUACUGGGCGUAAAGCGUGCGUAGGCGGUGAGUUAAGUCUGCUGUGAAAUCCCCGGGCUCAACCUGGGAAUGGCAGUGGAUACUGGCUCGCUUGAGUGUGUCAGAGGAUGGUGGAAUUCCCGGUGUAGCGGUGAAAUGCGUAGAGAUCGGGAGGAACAUCAGUGGCGAAGGCGGCCAUCUGGGACAACACUGACGCUGAGGCACGAAAGCGUGGGGAGCAAACAGGAUUAGAUACCCCGGUAGUCCCUGUCUCUUAUAA
rnacentral:rRNA from 1 species